UCCAACGCGGGAGGCGACGACGCGCGGCUCCUCACCCGGCCGCCCGGACCGCGCCGAGCCACUGGCGAGCCCGACCCGCACGGUA
rnacentral:ncRNA from 1 species